GACUAACGCUGGCGGCGUGCCUAACACAUGCAAGUCGAGCGGACACCACUUUGUAGCAAUACAGAUGAAGUGUUAGCGGCAGACGGGUGAGUAACACGUAGUCAACCUACCUUACCGUCCGGGAUAACUAGCCGAAAGGUUAGCUAAUACCUGAUACGAUCUUCGAGCGGCAUCGCUUGAUGAUGAAAGCAGUAAUGCGCGGUUUGAGGGGGCUGCGGCCCAUUAGCUAGUUGGUGAGGUAACGGCCCACCAAGGCGACGAUGGGUAGCUGGUCUGA
rnacentral:rRNA from 1 species